rnacentral:misc_RNA from 1 species
GAUGAAGAACGUAGCGAAAUGCGAUAAGUAAUGUGAAUUGCAGAAUUCAGUGAAUCAUCGAAUCUUUGAACGCAUCUUGCGCUCCUUGGUAUUCUGAGGAGCAUGCCUGUUUGAGUGUCAUUAAAUUCUCAACUACACUGACUUUGAAUUGGUGUGGCUUGGAUUUGGGGGGAAAAUUGUUGUGGGCUUUUUGUAUAGUCUGCUCCCCUGAAAUUGAUUAGCGUUACCUUUGUGGAACUGUCUACAGGUGUGAUAAUUAUCUACAUCUUAGACAUCUGCUGGAAUGCUGCUUUCUAAACCUUACUUGUAUUGACAAUCUUGACCUCAAAUCAGGUAGGACUACCCGCUGAACUUAAGCAUAUCAAUAAGCGGAGGA